rnacentral:rRNA from 1 species
GCAUAUCAAUAAGCGGAGGAAAAGAAACCAACAGGGAUUGCCCUUAGUAACGGCGUAGUGAAGCGGCAACAGCUCAAAUUUGAAAUCUGGCUCUCGGGGCCCGAGUUGUAAUUUGUAGAGGAUGCUUUUGGCGAGGUUCCUUCUGAGUUCCCUGGAACGGGACGCCGGAGAGGGUGAGAGCCCCGUACGGUCGGAUACUUAGCCUCUGUAAAGCUCCUUCGACGAGUCGAGUAGUUUGGGAAUGCUGCUCAAAAUGGGAGGUAAAUUUCUUCUAAAGCUAAAUACCGGCCAGAGACCGAUAGCGCACAAGUAGAGUGAUCGAAAGAUGAAAAGCACUUUGAAAAGAGGGUUAAAUAGCACGUGAAAUUGUUAAAAGGGAAGCGCUUGUGACCAGACUUGCGCCUGGUAAAUCAUCUAGCGUUCUCGCUAGUGCACUUUGCCGGCUCAGGCCAGCAUCAGUUUGCUGUCGGGGACAAAAGCUUUGGGAACGUAGCUCUCUUCGGGGAGUGUUAUAGCCCGUUGCAUAAUACCCUUCGGCGGACUGAGGUACGCGCUCCGCAAGGAUGCUGGCAUAAUGGUCAUCAGCGACCCGUCUUGAAACACGGACCAAGGAGUCAACCUUAUGUGCGAGUGUUUGGGUGUUAAACCCCUACGCGUAAUGAAAGUGAACGCAGGUGAGAGCUUCGGCGCAUCAUCGACCGAUCCUGAUGUUCUCGGAUGGAUUUGAGUAAGAGCAUAUAGGGUUGGACCCGAAAGAAGGUGAACUAUGCGUGUAUAGGGUGAAGCCAGAGGAAAACUCUGGUGGAGGCUCGCAGCGGUUUCUGACGUGCAAAUCGAUCGUCAAAUAAUGCGCAUGGGGCGAAAGACUAAUCGAACCUUCUAGUAGCUGGUUUCCGCCGA